GACAUCGACCUCCACCAUCUUCACGCCUUCUCCAUCUUCAAGAUCCUAAUCUAAACCUAAUCUAAGAAACAUAUGAAUAGGUGCAUACAAGUGAAAGAAAUAAAUUUCUAAAUCAAAUGGUAUGUAAAUGAUGCAAAAUUAACAUCAUCUGAAAGAUUAAGAUGAAUCUUAAGACUUCCUAAUAGGGUUCAAGUCCAAUCAAGAUCUAAUUGAUGGUCAAAAAUUGAUAUUUGUGAAAUCGCGCAUGUCAGCCACAAACAAAACAAAAUACAAUGCAUGUUUAAUGGUUCGUAAGACCACCUAGACAAUGUAUAAA
rnacentral:lncRNA from 1 species